rnacentral:snRNA from 1 species
GUGCUUGCUUCAGCAGGACAUGUACUAAAAUUGGAGCAAUACAGAGAAGAUUAGCCCCUGUGCAAGGUGACACACAAAUUUGUGAAGCAUUCCAUAUUUUU